GACAGAGGGGGCAAGCGUUGCUCGGAAUCACUGGGCGUAAAGGGCGCGUAGGUGGCGGCCCAAGUCCAUGGUGAAAGCUCGAUGCUCAACAUCGAGUCGGCCACGGAUACUGGGUUGCUCGAGCACUGUAGGGGCAGAUGGAAUUCCGGGUGUAGCGGUGGAAUGCGUAGAGAUCCGGAAGAACACCGAUGGCGAAGGCAGCCCCCUGGGCUAACACUGACGCUCAGGCACGAAAGCGUGGGGAGCAAACGGG
rnacentral:rRNA from 1 species